rnacentral:rRNA from 1 species
UACGAAGGGGGCUAGCGUUGCUCGGAAUUACUGGGCGUAAAGCGCACGUAGGCGGCUUCUUAAGUCGGUGGUGAAAUCCUGGAGCUCAACUCCAGAACUGCCUUCGAUACUGGGAGCUCGAGUCCGGGAGAGGUGAGUGGACUGCGAGUGUAGAGGUGAAAUUCGUAGAUAUUCGCAAGAACACCAGUGGCGAAGGCGGCUCACUGGCCGGUCGUCGACGCUGAGGUGCGAAAGCGUGGGGAGCAACAGG